AGGCCUACAAGGAAAGCGAGGGCUGAGGAAGGACGGCGGGAGGACUGCAGAGGGAGGCAGGCAGAGUGAGGGCGGCAGGCAGACAGCAGGAGAAGCAAAUCCUAGGAACAAUCACGUGAGCUUGGAAGGAGACCUUUCCCCAGCUGAGCCUCAGCCUGGGCCAUCACCUGCAUCUGGACUGAAGACCCAAAGAAACUACUCCAUCAGGAAUUGUUUGAGACCAUGCAUUAUGUGGACACUCAUAUCGUGGAAUUAUAUUGCCAAUUGGCAUUCCUAAAGCUUCUACGCUAGCAGGUUUGGAGUAAUUCACCAGUGAAGUCUUCUCAACCUGGGCAAUCAUGUGAGCUUGGAAGAUGAUGCAUCCCCAUCUCAUCUUUCAGGUGAAACCUCAGCCUUGGCCAUCACCUACAUCUGGAUUUCUGACCCAGAGAAACUGUGUGAAGGCUGGUCUUAAACUCCUGACCUCAAGUGAUGGACCUGUCUUGGCUUCCAAAAGUGCUGGAAUUACAGGCAUGAGCCACCAUGCCCUGCUAUGAGGUCUUGUUCCUUUGGCCAGGCUGGAGUGCAGUGGCACAGUCAUCACUCACUGUAGCUUCAAACACCUGGGUUCCAGCAUUCAUCCCACUUCAGCCUCCCGUGUAGCCGGGACUACAGAUCCCUACCUUUUUUGUUGGAGAAUGAAAUUUAAAAUGAAGAUUUGGGCACUCAUUGGUUGUACACAUUGUUACUGGUGAACGUGUUGAUUGGAGGCCUUCCUAGCUAACAGAGCAAAGAGUAAAUAUACACAUAUGUUUACAAAUUUCUACAAGUCUCCAUAUGUAUCUGCAUUAAAUUAAACAUGAAUUCCUGCAGCGUCCUCAGUCCCACACGAUCUUAUUCAGCACCAUGUGAAUCUGUCUACCCAUCUCACUAAUCUAUAUGUAGCCUACCACUGUAAUAUUUAACCACCUGAAAAUGCAGGCAUAGUGGUUUCAGAAUAAGAAACACACAACCCCAUGAGAAACACCCUUACCACCUGUUUAUGUAUACCAACUGCUUAUGUAUAAAUCCUUUAGCCUUUAGACAGAAUCUGCACUUAUUAUGCAAGUUGCUUAGGAAGGCUUAUUUUUCCCCUUCCUUCAGUGGAUUAUUUCAUAGAUUUGUAUAAAGUAUUUUCUCUGCAUUUCUUCCUGGACUGUUCCUAUCUACUAAAUAAGUUAUUUUGUUAAUUUACAUACUUUUAGCUUCACUCUUUGUGUUAUAAAGUUUUCUGGGAGUUGAAAAACUGUACCUUUUAUCCACGUUACAGUAGCAUACAUAAUAAUAUACAAAGAGAAAUUUUCUAUCUUUACAGAUUUGUCUUUCCUUUUUGCUGAGACCCGGGUAACCAAUAAACUCUUUACUGUCUUUAUA
ensembl:lncRNA PWRN4 Prader-Willi region non-protein coding RNA 4